AAGUCAGCAGGCACAAACAAGCUGAUGGUGAGCUCUCACAGUAUAAAAAGGAUUAUUCAUCUUCACCAUAAUUUCCGGGAUUCACUACUCCACUUAUUUUCCUUUUUCCGUCUCUUAUUUUCUUUUCAAAAACCCUCUGUGCCACAGCGGACUCAUUUCUUUUCAACAUUUAUCCCGAACCCUAGUAUCCGUUUGAAGAAGAAACAUAAUGCCUAGAGAAAUUAUCACUCUUCAAGUGGGACAAUGCGGGAACCAGAUCGGGAUGGAAUUCUGGAAACAACUAUGCCUCGAGCACGGCAUCAGCAAAGAAGGCAUUCUUGAGGACUUUGCUACUCAGGGAGGUGACAGGAAAGAUGUCUUUUUCUAUCAAGCUGAUGAUCAACAUUACAUACCUCGAGCCUUACUAAUAGAUUUGGAACCCAGAGUGAUAAAUGGAAUUCAAAACAGUGAAUAUAGAAAUCUAUACAAUCAUGAGAACAUAUUUGUUUCUGAUCAUGGUGGGGGUGCUGGAAAUAAUUGGGCCAGUGGAUAUCAUCAGGGGAAAGGUGUUGAAGAGGAUAUUAUGGACAUGAUUGAUAGAGAAGCUGAUGGAAGUGAUAGUCUUGAGGGAUUUGUUCUAUGUCAUUCAAUUGCUGGAGGAACAGGCUCAGGUAUGGGUUCAUAUCUGUUGGAGACACUAAAUGAUCGCUAUAGCAAAAAACUGGUUCAGACAUACAGUGUGUUUCCCAAUCAGAUGGAGACAAGUGAUGUGGUGGUCCAGCCCUAUAACUCACUUUUGACAUUGAAGCGACUAACCCUAAAUGCUGAUUGUGUCGUUGUUCUUGACAACACUGCACUGAAUAGAAUUGCUGUGGACCGCCUACAUCUACAAAACCCCACAUUUGCUCAAACUAAUUCUUUAGUUUCUACUGUAAUGUCUGCAAGUACAACCACUUUGCGCUAUCCAGGAUACAUGAACAAUGAUUUGGUUGGCCUUCUUGCCUCUUUAAUUCCAACACCAAGAUGCCAUUUUCUUAUGACAGGUUACACACCACUCACUGUGGAGCGCCAGGCUAAUGUGAUCCGUAAAACUACUGUUCUAGAUGUUAUGAGAAGACUUCUGCAGACAAAAAAUAUUAUGGUUUCUUCUUAUGCUCGAACAAAAGAAGCCAGCCAGGCAAAGUACAUUUCAAUAUUGAAUAUCAUUCAAGGAGAGGUUGAUCCUACUCAGGUACAUGAAAGUUUGCAGAGGAUUCGUGAAAGAAAGCUUGUUAAUUUUAUCGAGUGGGGCCCUGCAAGUAUUCAGGUUGCUCUCUCACGGAAGUCUCCAUAUGUUCAAACUGCGCAUCGGGUUAGUGGUCUCAUGCUAGCAAGCCAUACUAGUAUCAGGCAUCUCUUCAGUAAAUGUUUGAGUCAAUAUGAGAAGUUGAGAAAAAAGCAAGCCUUUCUUGACAACUAUCGGAAGUUUCCGAUGUUUGCUGACAAUGAUCUUUCGGAAUUUGAUGAAUCAAGAGAUAUAAUUGAGAGCUUAGUUGACGAAUAUAAGGCUUGUGAGUCGCCAGAUUACAUCAAAUGGGGAAUGGAGGAUCCUGACCACGUUCUAACAGGAGAAGGCAAUGCUACCGGAACUGUUGAUCCUAAAUUAGCAGUGUGAACAAACCAAGGAAGGAUGUAGGCUGGUUUGGAAAGCAUGUGAAGGACUGUAAUUGAAUGUUGGGUGCAAUUGUUUUUGAGUUAUUCCGGUUUUAACAUUGAAUGAUUUGGAAUGCGACUGAGGUAUUGGGUGUAUGUUUCUAAUGUUCUUGAUUUUGAUUUUUACAACUAUAAGUACAGUCUUACUGUAUCUAUUAGGGUUCUUAGCCCUUACCAAUGUCCAUUUAAGUGCCCGGAAGCCAGGCACAGAACUGCAGUUAGAAUUUCAGGUUUCUGGCAUAGGCCUCUGAGGUAUGAGGCAGGUGUUUUGGUUUUCUGUUUGUUCAUCAUUAUUUUUCCAAACUAUCUUUGCGGUGUGAGGUUUUCUGUUGAAAUUUGUCGAGAGAAAAUAUCAAAUGACCGCCCCAUAUGGUACAUUGUUUCUUAUGUUAUAUUGCCUCGCCCAUGAUUGCCUUGACUAUGGCCCAACUUCAAGUCUACUAAGGUUUUUUUUUUUUUUCUAAUAUUAAAUCAUAUUAUUUAUCCAUAAAUAUAUUAAUAAUGGCUAUUAAUUUGUGUAUUAAUAAAAUCCCCAUUGAUGUUAUGUGAUGCCUUGAAUUGUGGUGUAUCCAAAUUUUUUAUUUUCUGAACAUUUAUGAUCAUAAAUGAAGGAGUUUUGUGCUUUUUCUUUUUUUUUUCAAUUCUUGACCUCUGGCCCGUUCGAUGAUGUCUUCCACAUACAAAAAACAACAUAACAUGUGGCUGAUUGAUUGACUUGUUAUUGAUUAUCUGUCUUGUAUGCUAUAAGGAACUGGGCCAACAGAUUGCCGAAAAUGGUGUCGGGUAUGUUUUUGGAACAGAGUAACAUUUCUUAGGCUUUGAUUUGAAUGUCCCCACCAAUCCAACUUUAUUAUCAUUGGACUAAUUACUUAUGCCACUGGAACAUUCUUUUCGCUUUUGUUCAAAGAAAGAAGCUGGUGUACAGGCGAUCAGGGAUGGAUUUUGAGUAAGUUGGCUUGAGCUUGAAUUUUAGUUUGGUGAGUUUUAGCUCUGAGUUAAAGUAUUUUGUAUUGUCAAACACGAGUUUGAGUUUAGGGGUAUUCAAUUCGUAAAACUUAUAAUACUAAAAAAGUUUAAUUUGGAUUGUUUAAAACAAUGACAUGUUAAUUAAUAUUUAUCAAAAUAAUUUCAUUUUGAUUAAUUUUUAGUUUGUUAUAGUAUAAUUUGAGCUCAAGCUUGGCAUUCUCCAAGUCAAGUUCAAGUUGGUUUGAGAUGGGUUUUGACUAUUUUAAAUCAAGUUGAAUUUGGAUUGGUUUAAACUUGAUUUUAGCUCGAUUCAAAUCCAUAUCUACAGGUAUGCAAGUUGAAUUAAUAAUUUAUAACGCAGGCAGUUCCUAAUUUCCUAAAAUAGAAGAAAUGCCAACUAAUGAGAGAUUCUGCUCCUUAAGCCACGUUUCUUGUGUGGACUUGGAUAGGUUUGCUUCCUUUUAUUUUCUUUGAAUAGGUCGUCGUCACAUAGGGCGACGAGAUUCUUACUGAAGAUAAAUGAUGAUGCCAGGGAAAUUUCAAAUGUUUUGACAUUGACAUUGACAAACGUCCCUCAUAUCUUAAAUUCUUUCGAAUUUUAAAUUAUAAAUUGAUUCUCCUUCCAUCGUAAUUUGAAAUCUGAAUUUGAACGUUAAUAUAAAACGUCCAAUUGAAAGGAAAUUUGAAUUUGAAUGCAGUCAUAGCCAAACCACCAAUAGAGAUUUUAGAAAAUUAGCCGUUAAAUCGGCUACAACGAAGGGCAGGUGGUGGUGGUGGGGUAGGAAGAUGAAUUUGGUUGGACCAAUUUAGCUGACAAUCAGUACACAGACAAAUUUAGUAGCGUCACAUGGCCUUGUAAUCAAUUUUAUUCCCAUAAUGCCCUCAGUGGACAGCCGGUUAUUUCUCUCAUCGAUCAAUAAAUCCUUCUUAUAAAUUCCAAAGAACUCGUUCUUCCUCACCUGGAAAUCUCUCUCUGUAUCUAUCUGCUGUUAUUCAUCGUUCUCAGUCACGCACUGAGAAACAACCGUUAGAUUGAAAGAGAGAGAGCAAAAAGCAAAAGCAAUGGAAGUUAUUAUGGCAAGGGCCUUUUUCUGCUUCUUGGCUGUGUUGGCCAUUGUUUUCGCCGUAAUCUCGCCAUCCGUCGACGCUCAAUCCAUCCCUCCUGCACCUAGCCCUACCAGCGACGGAACUUCUAUCGACCAAGGAAUUGCGUACGUGCUGAUGCUGGUGGCUCUGAUUCUUACUUACCUGAUUCACCAUUAGGCGCAUCUUCCUACAGUUUCUCCUAGGAGGAUACAUGGACGAUCAAUGGUGGACAAUUAGGGUAAUUUAGAUUUUUUUUUUUUUUUUGGUGAUUGGCGUUGGUUGUGUAUUUUCUUUUGGAAGCUAUUGGUUUUGGUGGUUUGGGUUCUUUUCUUUUGCAAUUCCAGUACUGCUUUGGCAAUUUUUCUGUUCCAACGAUAUCUAUUCGUAUAUUUAUUGGAAUCAUUGAUUUAUUAUUUA